AGUGAACGCUGGCGGUAGGCCUAACACAUGCAAGUCGAACGGCAGCACAGGAGAGCUUGCUCUCUGGGUGGCGAGUGGCGGACGGGUGAGGAAUACAUCGGAAUCUACUUUUUCGUGGGGGAUAACGUAGGGAAACUUACGCUAAUACCGCAUACGACCUACGGGUGAAAGCAGGGGAUCUUCGGACCUUGCGCGAUUGAAUGAGCCGAUGUCGGAUUAGCUAGUUGGCGGGGUAAAGGCCCACCAAGGCGACGAUCCGUAGCUGGUCUGAGAGGAUGAUCCGCCACACUGGAACUGAGACACGGUCCAGACUCCUACAGGAGGCAGCAGUGGGUAAUAUUGGACAAUGGGCGCAAGCCUGAUCCAGCCAUACCGCGUGGGUGAAGAAGGCCUUCGGGUUGUAAAGCCCUUUUGUUGGGAAAGAAAUCCAGCUGGUUAAUACCCGCUUGGGAUGACGGUACCCAAAGGAUAAGCACCGGCUAACUUCGUGCCAGCCGCCGCCGUAA
rnacentral:rRNA from 1 species